UACGUAGGGUGCAAGCGUUAAUCGGAAUUACUGGGCGUAAAGCGUGCGCAGGCGGCUUUGCAAGACAGAUGUGAAAACCACGGGCUUAACUCGUGGCCUGCAGUUGAGACUGUCUGGCUUGAGUGUGGGAGAGGAGAGUGGAAUUCCUGGUGUAGCGGUGAAAUGCGUAGAUAUCAGGAGGAACACCGGUGGCGAAGGCGGCUCUCUGGACCACAACUGACGCUGAGGCGCGAAAGCUAGGGGAGCAAACAGG
rnacentral:rRNA from 1 species